rfam:Schistosoma curassoni strain Dakar, Senegal genome assembly, scaffold: SCTD_scaffold0004627
GCACUGCUGAGGAGUCCCAUACCAGGACGAAACGGCCGUCCAGUAC